ACGGGAGGCAGCAGUGGGGAAUAUUGGACAGUGGGGGCAACCCUGAUCCAGCGACGCCGCGUGAGUGAAGAAGUAUUUCGGUAUGUAAAGCUCUAUCAGCAGGGAAGAAAAUGACGGUACCUGACUAAGAAGCACCGGCUAACUACGUGCCAGCAGCCGCGGUAAUACGUAGGGGGCAAGCGUUAUCCGGAUUUACUGGGUGUAAAGGGAGCGUAGACGGCGAAGCAAGUCUGAAGUGAAAACCCACGGCUCAACUGUGGGACUGCUUUGGAAACUGUUUUGCUAGAGUGUCGGAGAUGUGAGUGGAAUUCCCAGUGGAACGGUGAAAUGCGUAGAUAUUGGGAGGAACACCGGUGGCGAAGGCGGCUCACUGGACGAUAACUGACGUUGAUGGUCGAAAGCGUGGGGAGCAAACAGGAUUAGAUACCCUGGUA
rnacentral:rRNA from 1 species